UCCUGUAACUUGGAACUGGAGAGGAGGCAAGAUGCUGGCAUAGCUGUUGAACUGCGAACCUGCUAUGCCAACAUAUUGCCAUCUCUCUUGUCCG
ensembl:miRNA